GCACUGCUGAGGAGUCCCACAAUAGGACGAAACGGCCGUUCAAUGC
rfam:Schistosoma margrebowiei strain Zambia genome assembly, scaffold: SMRZ_scaffold0000142